rnacentral:lncRNA from 1 species
CACAUGAGCCAUGAGGUUAUGUAGUCAGAAUGGUAUCUACAAAGAUGCUUUUCUAUACCAUCUAUGUGAUAUCUACACAGGAGAGGACCUUGCCAUGUCCUAAUGUUGACCGGUUAAUUAGGAACCGCAAGAUGUAAGGAUUGGAGAGAAGGAGUGUCCAAAGUGGAGUAUAUACUGUAACCCACCAAUCCUGGUGGGAACAUGUCUUUGUCUGGACACAGCUGUGUCGACACUUUGGGAAGAAUUAAACUUGGUUAAGCUUCUCUAGUGUCCAAGUAAACUCAUCAUCAGCUGUAGUUGCACAUGGAUUUUGAACCUGGCUGUGGAGACAAUAAUGGAAGCCUUAAGCCUGAACCCAAACCCACCGAUCCUGAUCCUACCGAGGGUGGCAGCGGUGGCCCAGCGAGUCCUAAACCAAGAAAGAUUGUAGCCUUCACAGCAAAACUUAACAUCUGUGACAGCUACCCAACUCACAGAGGAAUCCUGAAGUUUACCAACAUCCUGGUCAAUGAGGGAGAUGGCUACAGUACCGACACAGGAAAAUUCACCUGCUCGCUAGCUGGCUUGUACCACUUGACACUGUACAUGUCCACCUACGGGCGCGCCCAGUGUAGUAUCUUAAAGAAUGGCCAGCGGGUUGUCUCAGC